AGAGCGAACGCUGGCGGCAGGCCUAACACAUGCAAGUCGAGCGGCCGUAGCAAUACGGCAGCGGCAGACGGGAGAGUAACACGUGGGAACGUGCCUAUCAGUUCGGAACAACCCAGGGAAACUUGGGCUAAUACCGGAUACGCCCUUACGGGGAAAGAUUUAUCGCUGAUAGAGCGGCCCGCGUCUGAUUAGCUAGUUGGUGAGGUAACGCUCACCAAGGCACGAUCAGUAGCUGGUCUGAGAGGAUGAUCAGCCUCACUGGGACUGAGACACGGCCCAGACUCCGUACGGGAGCAGCAGUGGGAAUAUUGGACAAGUGGGCGCAAGCCUGAUCCAGCCAUGCCGCGUGGAUGAUGAAGGUCCUUAAGGGUUAGUAAAAAUUCCGUUUCGGGACGGGAAAGUAAGUAAGUAGACCGGUACCCGACGAAGAAACGAACG
rnacentral:rRNA from 1 species